AGAGAGGCAGAUAGACAGAGAGAGAGAGAUAGCAAGAAACAUCCAACAAGGCUUAAAUCAAUAUUAAAAAAGAGAAGGUAAUGACUGAGGCAGGCGUGACGUCGGUUUUUAAUAUUGAACCGGCAAACACAGCAGCGGCUUGUUGUGCAGAAACAGACGGGUGCUGUGAGCAUCUCACAUCACCUUCCAACCUUUAACAGCACUGUGGAAUGGAA